rnacentral:rRNA from 1 species
AGAGUUUGAUCCUGGCUCAGGACGAACGCUGGCGGCGUGCUUAACACAUGCAAGUCGAACGGUGAAGUCCCUUCGGGGGCGGAUCAGUGGCGAACGGGUGAGUAACACGUGGGCAACCUGCCCCUGACUCUGGGAUAACUCCGGGAAACCGGGGCUAAUACCGGAUACGACACGAGGAGGCAUCUCCAUCGUGUGGAAAG